AUGAACGGGUACCGCAACCUCGCCUCGUCCCCUCCGGCGCCCAGCGGCGGCGGGGAGCCGCAGCCAGCCCCGUCCCCGGCCGCGGCGAAGGAGGGCAAGUGGGAGGGGGCGGCGGUCGGCGCGGCGGCCAUCGUCAGGAACCUCUCGUCCUCCUCCCAGAGGUUCGCGUCCGUGGAGCGGAGCAAGUCCACCGGCGCCCACCGCGGCGGCGGCUUCCAGGCGGCCGUGAGGAGGGCCUUCUCCAUGCGGAGGCAGCCGGCGUCCGGCCUCUCGGAGGGGUACUGGCGGAUCCACGACGGCCUGGACGACGGCGACGACGACGCCGAGGCGCCCGAGGAGGUCGACGGGCAGAAGAAGCAUCAGGUGGCGGAGGCCGCGGUGCCGGGAGACGCCGCGGCGAGCAACGACGAGAUCGGCAAGGAGACGAAGAAGAAGAAGAGGGGUCACAUCUUCAAGGCGUGCAAGAAGCUUCUUGGGUUCAAACAUGUCUAG
rnacentral:rRNA from 1 species